UGUUUCUCUGGAAAAUAAGGUCUAUACUUAGAGUACAUAACCAACUUAGAUAAAUAGAUUGGAUGAUAAUAUAGUUUACAUUUUUUUGUGUGUGUGUGAUGAGCAUGUGCAGCUAAAAAAAGAAAAUAUAAGAUAAAAUAUUUAAUAUUUCGGCAACUGUUAUCACGUCAAAAGUCCUGAACAUCUAAAAACGUCACAGAAUUACGGUGACGAAAAGCAGCAAACGUCAUUCAAAAUGACAUCUGUCACAUGAACAUGGAAGAAGCUGGUUGAAGCUGAUUCUCAAUGUCUUCAAAAGGAAACAGCCGGUCCUGGCAGUAGUGCCGGGGAGGAGUGUGACCGCUGUGGCCAGGCUCCCUGCUGAUUUCCUGACAAACCUAGCAUUAUAGGACAAUCACUAUUCACUGUAUGCCACAUUCGACCGCUCCAGACACGUCGGGGCGUCCACCAUCUUGGAAAGGUCAGCAUGUCAUCACUCACAGUAAGAAUCAAUGAUGCCACAACAUUGCGCAGCUUCUGGUUGAGAAACCGCCAAGAUUUAAAUUCCUAAAGAAAUGGGAUAACCUUUCACAGGAAAUGGCUUUGGAUGAUAAGGUUGCGUUGAUGGCCGGGAAGCGAGGACGUGGCGUGGCAGCUGAAGAAAGCUGAGGGAGGACAAUGACAGGGCAAAGCAGGCCCAUAUGGAUGAGGAAAGUAAAGUUCAAACG